rnacentral:rRNA from 1 species
GACGAACCGUGCGAACGUUGUUCGGAAUCACUGGGCUUAAAGGGCGCGUAGGCGGGCCAUCAAGUCCGGGGUGAAAUCCUUCGGCUUAACCGGAGAAUUGCCUUGGAUACUGGUGGUCUUGAGGGAAGUAGGGGUCUGCGGAACUUCCGGUGGAGCGGUGAAAUGUGUUGAUAUCGGAAGGAACGCCGGUGGCGAAAGCGGCGGACUGGGCUUCUUCUGACGCUGAGGCGCGAAAGCUAGGGGAGCAAAC